rnacentral:lncRNA from 1 species
CUCUUAGGAAAAUAAGAGGCUUUGGGGAACUAUCUGUAGAACUUCUUUUGAAGAAUGCUCCAGAGGCAGUUGUGAUCAGCCAUCUACAAACUCAUGAUAGUCCUUGUUGAAUCAAUUUCAAUGUGAGCCCUUUGAGAAUAGUUGAAGAAAUGUAGAAUAAAGAUUUAAUUCCACAAAGAGAGGUUACAAAGACCCAUGAAAUCAAAAGAUUACUGUGAAAUAGUUUGCAUCUAAUUAGAAUUGGAGUGUCAGGUAUAAAGAAAAAUGAAACUUCUUGAUAUGUUAUGUAUGUAUAUGCUUACAUAUAUAUAUGAGAUACUGCUUAAUAUGUUAAAUAUAUAUGAAGUUCUUUAAGCAGUUUUCAUUAGCAACUUAUAUUGUAAGGUAGAAAAAGACAUCUAGACUUCAUUUGCAUUUCCAAAGGGAAAUGAAAAAAUGAGAAAAUAAAUAAUUCCAUUUCAUUUUUUUCGCAACGGAUAACUACUCUAAGAAAAACUAGUUAUUUAUUUAAAUUGAUUGAAAAGUGAUAUUAUUCCCCCUCCUUUUCUUGAUAUAUGUAAAGAGGCUAGAAGGUAAAAAAAAGAAAUCCUGAAGUGUUUUGGAGAACAGAUCUAUCAGUUAGAUAAGUAUGCGGAAUUCUUGAGAUGAAAAAGUUGAGUAUAUUUAACAUCAUUUAUUAAGGAACUUUCUCUCUUAAGUUCUUCAGUAAGUGGAUAUUUAGGUGACAAAAUAUUGUUUAAUAUCAGAAAACGCAGUCCUUAAAUCUCAAGACUUUUGCUUAAACUUGGAUUCCCAAAAUAUUCUUCUUCAUUGAUAUUGUAAUAUUCUCUCUAUAUGAUUAGGAACUAAUUUAUUAUUUUUAUUUUUUUGCUUUUUAGGGUGCACCUGUGGCAUAUGAGGUUCCUAGGCUAUGGGUCAAAUUGGAGCUACAACUGCCGGCCUACGUCAGAGCCAUAGCAGUGCCAGAUCCUUAACCCACUGAAUGAGUCCAGGGAUCGAACCUGCAACCUCAUGGUUCCUAGUUGGAUUUGUUUCUGCUGUACCACAAUGGGAACUCCAGGAAACAAUUUAGCACAUUAUUAUAGUUUAGCAUUCUCCAGGUUUUUGUGUUUUGUUUUCUUCUUUUUCUUUUUUCUUUUUAGGGGACAAAUCUGUGGCAUAUGGAAGUUCCCAGGCUAGCGGUCAAAAUCGGAGAGUAAUGCCAGAUCCGAGCUGCACCUGCAGCCUAGGCUGCAGCUUGUGGCAAUGCUGGAUCCUUAUCCCACUGAGCGAGUCCAAGGAUCAAACCCUGCAUCCUCACAGACACUAAUCAAGUUCUUGACCUGCUGAGCCACAAGGGAUACUCCUUGAUUUCUUUCUGUAUGUUGAAAUACCCUUGUAGUCAUGAGAUAAAUUCCCUUUAAUCUUAGCUUAGGAUCUUCUUAAUAUGCAGCUGGAUUCAGUUUGCUAGUAUUUUGCUGCGGAUUUUUACAUCCAUGUUCAUGAAGCAUGUGAUUUUCUUCCUCUGGGGUGUCUCCAUCCGGUUUUGGUAUCAGGGUAGUUCUGACUUCAUAGGCUGAUGGAAGAUUAGUCCUUCCUCUUCUCCUUUUUAGGAGAACUUGAGAAUGAUUAGUAUUAAAUUUUCUUUAAAUGUUUGGCAGCAUUCACCACUGAUGUCAUCUUUAGAACUUUCCUUUUCAAAAUGGGUAGGGAGUUCCCAUGGUGCUGCAGUGGAAAUGAAUCCAACUACAAAUCGUGAGGUUGCAGGUUUGAUCCCUGGCCUCGCUCAAUGGGUUAAGGAUCUGGUGUUGCCGUGAGCUGUGGUGUAGGUUGAAGAUGCAGCUUGUAUCUGAUGUUGUUGUGGUUGUGGUGUAGACCGGCAGCUGUAGCUCCCAUUGUACCCUAGCCUGGGAACCUCCAUAUGCUACGAGUGCAGCCCUAAAAAGCCAAAAAAAAAAAAAA